rnacentral:lncRNA from 1 species
CGGAGACGUCUCCGCUUGAACGCGAGACGUCUCGGCUGUAUAAAAUUUCUUUUGACGUUGUUUGGAGUCGACUCGGCGCUUUACGGGGACGACUCCGAAGAAGAACUCCUUGACUUCUUGUUUUUCUGUUUUCUGAGAGAGUCGGCUCGGCACUUUACGGGGACGUCUCGGGAUGUUUGUGCUUUAUGCAUGGGGACGACUCCGCGACGUCGGGGACGACUCCGCCGUUUUAUCAAU